UACAAUGUAACUAAGCCAAUUUUUUUUACCUAUACAAGUAAAUAAAAUUCACUUGUAUAAGUAUCCUACAAAUUUACUUAUAUGUGUAUAUUUUUUUUACUUCUUCAAGUAAAUAAAAUACACUUGUACAAGUAGUACCCCUGACUGUAGGAAUGAUAAAGUAAACUCAUUUUCAUGAAUGACAAUCAAACAGCGUCUACUUAAAGCACCAAUGCAUCGUUCCAGUUAGACCAAAACAAUUAAAGUUUCAUAUUUUCAUUAGCUUAUUUUUCAGAAAAUUAUCUGUAUGCAUCUUCAGCUUGUAUAACUUAAUCUUGUAUAUUCCUGCUGUUUCAAACAGUAGACGGAUAAACACACGACUAUAUUUGCCACUGAACAUUAAAUAUUCAAUAAAAAUUUGGCUUCUUUCAAUAAUGAAUGCAAAGAGAAUAAAUGCAUGUGCAUCAUAUCAUCUAGCAAUCCCAUAUUAUUACUGUUUAUUAAAUUAUAUGAUUUUAGGUGUAAUACCACCAAAUCAUGGUACGUCCCAUCCGGUUGCAUAUGAAAGUAGGCCUAAAAAAAUAUUCCCUUGAAUUUGACAGUUGUAGAAAAUUAACCCUGCAUUUCAAUGCACUUAAAUUUUUCUGAGUCUUAAAUAUGUAUAUUGGAAGUCUGAAAGCAUCAUUCUUUUUUUAUUUGAUGGUCUUAUAAAAUAUUUUGGAACGUUAAGGUUACAUAGUUACCAAAGCAGGUAACCAGUAAAUAAUAGUGUAAAAAUUGGGUUGUUUACUUCCGGUGUUGGGUACUAUCUUAUAUGCAAUGAAAUGUAGUGUGAAAUUUUCACUGUAUCACUGGAAAGGAUUAAACUUUAUACAUGUACAUGCAAAGUAUUUCUUUAGUUGAAAUAAAGUGUACACCAUGUUCUGAAGAGCAUUUUGUUGAAAUUUUUUAUAUGUGAAGUGGUCAGCAGAUGACACUUCAGCAUUAGAACAAAAGAUAUCAAGUUUUGAUGAUAAAGGAAGGAUGGAGGAAAAAUGGACCAAAACAGACUAAAACAGACCUUCAAAUGAACUCUAAAAGGUGCAAUAAAAUUGUUUAUCAUCUUAAAGUUGUCUUUUGUAUUCUAUUUAAUUGUUUGAAUGCAUAGAUCAUGAGUUUAUGAUCAGA